UUCCGUUCACAUUCUCCUCAAAGUAUGUUGUAUUAAUAACUAGUAUGGUCUUUUUUUUUUCGUUUUUUCCAAUCUUGCCAUUUGGCUAUUUUCUGUUUUUAUAAUGGUCAGAGUACCGCAUAACUUUUAUUUGGAAAACCGAGAUAGAAAAAAGCAUAAAUAUGGUGUUGUAUUGAAAGAGUAGAGCUGAGGAAAAGGGUGUAAGGGUUACUCCCAUUGAUUUCUCAGUCAUAUGUGUAAAGGGGCAAUUUUAUGAUUAGUUGAGUGUGAAAGAUAAGGGGAGAGAGAGAAAAAAAACGAUUGCAAACAUUAGUUAGAGAUUAUGUUGCUUGGAAUCUUCAAAAAUGUCAACGGCUGCGUGUUAGAUUCUCCAAAAGUAGUGUAAUUUGGAGAAUCUGACACGGGUGUGACAUUGAAAGUGAAGGAUCCCGCAACUUAGGUUAGAGACGCAAUUUCCUAUGGAAUAUAGUCAAACUUAGCGGACUACAUAUUCAUACUUGUUGACUCUUUAAAUUUUCAGAUGUACUUAGAUAAAUACAGGAAAUAUGUGUAUUUGAUUAUUAUUGAUUCUUCUAUAAUUUAAUUUAAUACAAGAAUUAAUUACUUUUGUGCACGGUGACUCUCAAUGGAUAAAUGAAGAGACGCUUUAAAUAUUUUAUUAAGACCUCUUGGUUCCAAGUUCCAGUUUCUAUCCACUUCACUAAAAAAGACAAUUUUUGCUCUGUAUUUUUGGGACUAAUCAAUGUUACAGAAUCAAGGUAUAAAAAUCGCCCUUUUCCCUUCUAUUUGGGUUAUAAGUUUUAGGCCUAAGACUAUCAACUUUUUCUAACAGAUAGUAUUAAAAUGGCUGCUGCUGAAAUGGAUAAAGAAGAUCGAAUAAGUUAUCUGCCAAGAAAUGUUAUAGAUCGUAUUCUUGAGCUCCUGCCUGUCGAAGAUGCAGGAAGAACUAGUAUUUUGUCCACAAAAUGGAGAUAUAUUUGGGCUAUGCUCCCAAAUUUGGUGUUGGAUAAGCUGUUUUGCAAAAAAGUAGCAGCAAGAUCUGAUUGUGUCUUCAAUGCAAUAGUAGACAAGAUUCUCUUACAACAUCUUGGAGAUGUUUUGAAGUUUGAUCUUGAUGUAUCAGCAGUAAAGUUGUCCCAGUGUCCAGAUAUUGAUCGAUGGAUGCUUUAUGUCACCAGGAAUGGUGUCAAGAAGCUAAAGCUUAACAUGUCAAAAGAUAGUACUUUCAAAGUGCCUUCUUAUAUAUUUAAUUGUCCAACCCUGACAAAAUUGAAACUCUUUAACUGUGUCUUCAAACCACCAAAAUCUUUUCGUGGCUUUCUGAAUCUUACAACGCUUUAUAUGGAAAAAGUAACCUUUGUGUCAACUACAGAAAUUAUCAAUGUCCCCCUUGUCAAUUUGACCUUGAUGCGAUGUAAUGGCACUCAAUUGUAUCAGCUGGGUCGAAGUCCUUGUGUUAUUUUGAGAGUCACUGUAAUCUUGACCUAAAUUGCUUUAUCAACUACAAAAAGUUGACAUAUUUAUAUCUCGAGGUUACUAAUUAUUCACCACCUGCUGAAAGAUUAACUUUGGAAAAGCUUCUUCUUAGCUUGAAUACACUUGAGGAGCUGACUAUUUGUUCACAUGAACUUGAGGUGCAGUUCCAGUUCCAAAAGGGCUUCCUUUUACGCUCAACUACUUGUGGCACCUACAUUUAGGUGUAGACUUAGGCCAAAUCGGUCAGACUUAUUAUGCUCUCGAGUUGAUUAAACGUUUCCCCAAUUUGAGUAAACUUGAGAUUUGGGUCCAGGGUAGCGACGACAAUGCUGAGCCAGAUUUGAAAUAUAUGGACACACCAACCUGCUUGGACCGACCGCUCAACAAGCUCGAAGAUGUUACUAUGCAUUAUUUUAAGGGUUCAAAAAAUGAACUGUUUUUCAUAAAGCUAUUGCUUGCUCGUACUCCAUCUUUGGUAAGGAUGAGUGUCGAGGCGAUUGAUUCUUUGUAAGAGUGGAAUAUUGCCAUAGAAUUGAUGCGUUUCCCUAGAGCAUCUCCCAAGGCAGAAAUAUUCUAUUUGACAUGAGGCUACAGAGGCAUGAUGCUAUAUGUUCUCAGUGUGUUCCGUUAAUUACUUUAAUAAACUUGUUCUUAAA